rnacentral:rRNA from 1 species
CCUACGGGUGGCAGCAGUGAGGAAUAUUGGUCAAUGGACGAGAGUCUGAACCAGCCAAGUAGCGUGAAGGAUGACUGACCUAUGGGUUGUAAACUUCUUUUAUAUGGGAAUAAAAUGUUCCACGUGUGGGAUUUUGUAUGUACCAUAUGAAUAAGGAUCGGCUAACUCCGUGCCAGCAGCCGCGGUAAUACGGAGGAUCCGAGCGUUAUCCGGAUUUAUUGGGUUUAAAGGGAGCGUAGGUGGAUUGUUAAGUCAGUUGUGAAAGUUUGCGGCUCAACCGUAAAAUUGCAGUUGAAACUGGCAGUCUUGAGUACAGUAGAGGUGGGCGGAAUUCGUGGUGUAGCGGUGAAAUGCUUAGAUAUCACGAAGAACUCCGAUUGCGAAGGCAGCUUACUGGACUGUAACUGACACUGAGGCUCGAAAGUGUGGGUAUCAAACAGGAUUAGAUACCCUAGUAGUC